rnacentral:rRNA from 1 species
GACGAUCGCUGGCGGCGUGCUUAACACAUGCAAGUCGAACGAUGAACCGGAGCUUGCUCUGGGGAUUAGUGGCGAACGGGUGAGUAACACGUGGGCAACCUGCCCCAGACACCGGGAUAACCAUUCGAAAGGAUGGCUAAUACCGGAUACGACCACUUCGGGCAUCCGAUGGUGGUGGAAAGGAUUCUGGUCUGGGAUGGGCCCGCGGCCUAUCAGCUUGUUGGUGGGGUAAUGGCCUACCAAGGCGACGACGGGUAGCCGGCCUGAGAGGGCGACCGGCCACACUGGGACUGAGACACGGCCCAGACUCCUACGGGAGGCAGCAGUGGGGAAUAUUGCGCAAUGGGCGAAAGCCUGACGCAGCGACGCCGCGUGAGGGACGAAGGUCUUCGGAUUGUAAACCUCUUUCAGCAGGGAUGAAGCGAAAGUGACAGUACCUGCAGAAGAAGCACCGGCUAACUACGUGCCAGCCGCCGCAGUAACAC